rnacentral:snoRNA from 1 species
UUGCAUUAUAUCCAGUUUUCUACAAUUUACUGGAGUUAUAAAAUAGCUCAAAGGCAAUGAAAACUGUGUGCAGGAGCUGCGUACCACAGCCGCCUUAGCAGUGGAGGCAGCCUGUUACUUGUAAGAGUUGCCCUGGGAGACUUUGAAGACAGCA